rnacentral:rRNA from 1 species
AUUGAACGCUGGCGGCAGGCCUAACACAUGCAAGUCGAGCGGAUGAAGGGAGCCUGCUCCUGGAUUCAGCGGCGGACGGGUGAGUAAUGCCUAGGAAUCUGCCUGGUAGUGGGGGAUAACGUCCGGAAACGGGCGCUAAUACCGCAUACGUCCUGAGGGAGAAAGUGGGGGAUCUUCGGACCUCACGCUAUCAGAUGAGCCUAGGUCGGAUUAGCUAGUUGGUGGGGUAAAGGCCUACCAAGGCGACGAUCCGUAACUGGUCUGAGAGGAUGAUCAGUCACACUGGAACUGAGACACGGUCCAGACUCCUACGGGAGGCAGCAGUGGGGAAUAUUGGACAAUGGGCGAAAGCCUGAUCCAGCCAUGCCGCGUGUGUGAAGAAGGUCUUCGGAUUGUAAAGCACUUUAAGUUGGGAGGAAGGGCAGUAAGUUAAUACCUCGCUGUUUUGACGUUACCAACAGAAUAAGCACCGGCUAACUUCGUG